rnacentral:rRNA from 1 species
UUCCAGACUCCUACGGGAGGCAGCAGUGGGGGAUAUUGCACAAUGGGGGGAACCCUGAUGCAGCGACGCCGCGUGAGUGAAGAAGUAAUUCGUUAUGUAAAGCUCUAUCAGCAGGGAAGAAUAAAUGACGGUACCUGAGUAAGAAGCCCCGGCUAACUACGUGCCAGCAGCCGCGGUAAUACGUAGGGGGCAAGCGUUAUCCGGAUUUACUGGGUGUAAAGGGAGCGUAGACGGCUGUGCAAGCCAGAUGUGAAAGCCCGGGGCUCAACCCCGGGACUGCAUUUGGAACUGUGUGGCUGGAGUGCUGGAGAGGCAGGCGGAAUUCCUAGUGUAGUGGUGAAAUGCGUAGAUAUUAGGAGGAACACCAGUGGCGAAGGCGGCCUGCUGGACGAUGACUGACGUUGAGGCUCGAAAGCGUGGGGAGCAAACAGGAUUAGAUACCCGGGUA